rnacentral:rRNA from 1 species
AUACGGAGGUUGCGAGCGUUGUUCGGAAUGACUGGGCGUAAAGGGAGCGCAGGCGGUUUGGCAAGUCUAAAGUGGAAGCCCGGGGCUUAACCUCGGAAGUGCUUUAGAAACUGCUGAACUCGAGUUCGUGAGAGGAGAGCGGAAUUCCAGGUGUAGCGGUGAAAUGCGUAGAUAUCUGGAGGAACACCGGUGGCGAAAGCGGCUCUCUGGCACGAUACUGACGCUGAGGCUCGAAAGCAUGGGGAGCGAACAGGAUUAGAUACCCUGGUAGUCCAUGCCGUAAACGUUGUGCACUAGGUGUGGGAGGUAUCGACCCCUUCCGUGCCGUAGUUAACGCAUUAAGUGCACCGCCUGGGGAGUACGGUCGCAAGACUGAA